rnacentral:rRNA from 1 species
UACGUAGGUGACAAGCGUUGUCCGGAUUUACUGGGCGUAAAGAGCGCGCAGGCGGUCGAUCAAGUCGAGUGUGAAAGCCCCGGGCUCAACCUGGGAAUUGCAUUCGAGACUGAAUAGCUAGGGUACGGUAGAGGGAAGUGGAAUUUCCGGUGUAGCGGUGAAAUGCGUAGAUAUCGGAAGGAACAUCAGUGGCGAAAGCGACUUCCUGGACCAGUACCGACGUUCAGGCACGAAAGCGUGGGGAGCAAACAGG